AUUACAGGAAAGAAAUGAAAUUGACCCUGGGUUUUGUCAUAAAGAAUGCUCGAGAGCCAGUGUCCUGAGUUUUUCUUCAGUGACCCAAUUUAAAUCACUUUGAAGAAAGAGAAGGAAAGAAGCUAAAGCUUUGAGGUGAAUCAUCUGAGUGAAGCGGCUGGGCACACUGAGGAGGAGAGCUCAGGAAUAUGGUCUGACUCACCCGGCUGUGGGAGCUGACAAGCCCAACACAGGGGAUGGAGGAAGAUUUUCAGCUCUGACAAAAGGCCAGAAAGGAGGAAAUCAUCCUUGCUGUCUUGUUCUUCUUGGAGCCCUGAGCAGCCAUAGGAACAGGCCCAGCCUAGCUGGCUAGAUCCUGACCAACAGGUGUCUGCUUGCCCUUGUGGUCUCUGCUGGUACCCACUAACUCCACGAAGCAGGAGCACCUAUCUGGAGGACUGGAAGCUGACUGCAAACAUGUAAGUCCAGCCCCG
rnacentral:lncRNA from 1 species